AUGAGUGUUUUAUGGGUUGCAAAUCUAUGUGUUAUCGGAACAUUAAUAUUAGUUGUUGAAAAAUAUCUAGCAAUGACUCGGCCAAUAUGGUCUCUGUUGUUUUGCAACAGUUAUCUGAAGACUCUAGGUCGUUUGCAACUAAUUGAAUGCAAAAUUCUGAAGAAACAAAGUGCUUUGAAACGUAUUCAUCUAACCUCAUCUUCAAGCACAUUCUCGUACUUGCAUACCGGCAAUGAGUGUUGAUCAAUUCUAUUGUAAAUCUUUCCUUCUGGAAACCCAGGUACAGCCUCUAAAUUUUAUUUGUACAUUUUUGUGAUGUAAAUAUACAGCUACCAGGAUAAGCAAGAGUAAUUUCCUUGCUCUUGUAUUUUCUUUGAAUUUUAAGCAGGGAUUUUCUGGUUUUUACCAUCAGGUAAUAGAUCGUUUGUGCAUGUUGUAGAGUAUUCUAUGCUUAAAAAAUUGACGUAAUUAGUCAGAUGUGUCUAAAUGACAAAUUUUUACCGCUUAGUAUCAUUGUAAAAGGUAUCUUAUCCCUUCUAAAAGUAUGUUAUCUGACGUCAUCUACCAUAAUAGCACAUAGAGUAGUUUCUUCCACCUAACUCUCAUCAAUGUUGCACAUAGAGUGAACAUUGCAAAUAUGUGCUCAGCUAAUGGACCAUUAGACAAGGUACGAAUUUAAGCAUUCUGAUACAUUUUUCUUAACCAGAAUUUCACGUAUAACACGAUUCGCGCAAUGAAAAUUACUGAAACCAACUCCUAACGGAGAUAUUAACAUUUUUAUUUCACAUUGGUUACAAGGAAUUUGAACUGCCCGCUCACAAGAAACUCAAAGCUCUACGUAAGUCAAAUCGCGCACUACAACGGUUUCAGCAAGCUUUUCAAUCGAGCAAUGUCCAUUUCACACCAUGUGUUUUUCAAACUAAAAGUAAUUUGCUAUAGCUGAGCCAAAGCGUCAAGCUUGAGGUUACCAGAUCGUUUUAUCGCAGAGACGUUCAUGAUAACGUUUAGCGCUCUAUGUGAAUCACGCAGAGCAUUGAGUUUUCAUGAGCGGGUGGUUUCAAUUCAAGCACCAAGAAUCAUUAAAUAUCUUCGGAAGGAGUUGAUUACGGUAAUGUUUGUUGUGCACAUCGUGUUUUACGUGGAAUUUUGGUGAAGAAACAUGUAUCAGAAUGCUGAAAUUCUUACCUUGUCUAGUGGGCCAUUGCACUGCAUUUUGCAAUUAAGAAGCAUAAUUUCUGGCUCUUCCGUAAAAACACUUAUGUGCUUGGGGAAACUAAAGGGUGCAUACGUAGUUUGUAAACUGAGCGAGAAUUUGUAGUUCCUGAUUGAAAAAUAUAGUCCAGCUGAUGGCCUAAGGAGGAAAAAACGGUAAUAUGCGUUUUUACUGAGAAUAAUGUAAUGCAUCGUCUUUUUCAGAGGGGGUACCUCUGUCAUCACAUGACGUGAAAACUUGAUGUUGGGACAGUUCUCAUUAUUUUUCUGUAUCCUGCAAUCAGAGCAAGAUUCACCAGUAUGCUCAACUGAUCUGUUCAUAAAUAAAAAGAAAAUCGUCAAGUUCUAAACAGCCCGAAACUCAAACAGUGAAACUUUUAAAAUGAAAAAUCUGCAUGGGCAAGGAAUUUCCUUUUGCUUAUCAUGGUAUGUGUACUUCUAGUUUAUAGGGACCUUUAAAUUUUUGUCAAUAAAUUCUUUGUAACAAAAACAAAAGGAUUGAAUAAAAUAAUUUCUAUUGAUGAAAGUUUUGUUGAAUUUUAUUGCGUCUCCAAAUUCAUUUUCAGUGCCAUAUCGAUCUGUCGGAUGAAUGUUUUAAAAUUUCACAAUUUUUAGGAAGUAUUAAAAUUAAAGCUGAGUUUCUAGCGAGUAAGUUAUACA
rnacentral:lncRNA from 1 species